AGAUCACUAGCUUAACUGGAAAGAGCCGUUGAAUACGAAUCAACGUGAUGUAGGUUCGACUCCUACGUGGUCUACCA
rnacentral:tRNA from 1 species